GUGGGGAAUAUUGGACAAUGGGGGGAACCCUGAUCCAGCCAUGCCGCGUGUGUGAAGAAGGCCUUUUGGUUGUAAAGCACUUUAAGCGAGGAGGAGGCUACCGAGAUUAAUACUCUUGGAUAGUGACGUUACUCGCAGAAUAAGCACCGGCUAACUCUGUGCCAGCAGCCGCGGUAAUACAGAGGGUGCAAGCGUUAAUCGGAUUUACUGGGCGUAAAGCGCGCGUAGGUGGCCAAUUAAGUCAAAUGUGAAAUCCCCGAGCUUAACUUGGGAAUUGCAUUCGAUACUGGUUGGCUAGAGUAUGGGAGAGGAUGGUAGAAUUCCAGGUGUAGCGGUGAAAUGCGUAGAGAUCUGGAGGAAUACCGAUGGCGAAGGCAGCCAUCUGGCCUAAUACUGACACUGAGGUGCGAAAGCAUGGGGAGCAAACAGGAUUAGAUACCCCUGUAGUCC
rnacentral:rRNA from 1 species